UUGCCAGACUGAAUUAGUGAUCGGUCGGGCAGUUUCAAAACAGGAGAAAAUUAUGUCACUAACUAAAGAAGAAACCGCAAGCAUUGUUGCAGAAUAUGGCGUUAAAGAA
rfam:Alteromonas sp. JW12 Alteromonas_lipolytica_JW12_S18, whole genome shotgun sequence.